CGGAGAGGGCGCAUGAGAAACGGCUACCACUUCUAAGGAAGGCAGCAGGCGCGCAAAUUACCCAAUCCUGACUCAGGGAGGUAGUGACAAGAAAUAACAAUAAACCGGCUUAUGCCGGUUUAAUUGGAAUGAGUACAAUUUGAACAUCUUAACGAGGAACAAUUGGAGGGCAAGUCUGGUGCCAGCAGCCGCGGUAAUUCCAGCUCCAAUAGCGUAUACUAAAGUUGUUGCAGUUAAAAAGCUCGUAGUUGGAUUUCUGCGGGGACGGAGCGGCCGGACGCAACUUGCGUCUCGAGCUAGCGCUUUCCCCGCAUCCUGCCGCGAACCGUGCUACCAUUAGCUUGGUGGCGCUGGGGAUCGGCUCGAUUACUUUGAGAAAAAUAGAGUGUUCAAAGCAGGCCACACGCCUUGAAUAAGUUAGCAUGGAAUAAUGACUAAGGACUUCGGUUCUAUUUUGUUGGUGUUCGGGACUGAAGUAAUGAUUGAUAGGGACAGUUGGGGCGGUCUGUAUUCCAAAGCGAGAGGUGAAAUUCUUAGACCUUCGGAAGACAAACAGCUGCGAAAGCGUUCCGCAAGGAUGUUCCCUUUGAUCAAGAACGAAAGUUGGGGGAUCGAAGACGAUCAGAUACCGUCGUAGUCUCAACUAUAAACUAUACCAGCUAGGGAUCGGUCAACGUUUAAUCAUUCGACUUGAUCGGCACCUUAUGAGAAAUCAAAGCAUCUGGGUUCCGGGGGGAGUAUGGUCGCAAGGCUGAAACUUAAAGGAAUUGACGGAAGGGCACCACCAGCCGUGGAGCCUGUGGCUUAAUUUGACUCAACACGGGAAAACUUACCAGGUCCAGACAUAGUAAGGAUUGACAGAUUGAUAGCUCUUUCUUGAUUCUGUGGGUGGUGGUGCAUGGCCGUUCUUAGUUGGUGGAGUGAUUUGUCUGGUUAAUUCCGUUAACGAACGAGACCCCAGCCUGCUAAAUAGCGCGGCUGAGCUUUGCUCGGUGCGAGCUUCUUAGAGGGACUAUGAUGCGCGAUAGCACAUGGAAGUUUGGGGCAAUAACAGGUCUGUGAUGCCCUUAGAUGUUCUGGGCCGCACACGGGCUACACUGGCGCCUGCAACGAGCAUAUCAGCUGGCCCGAGAGGGUCUUGGCUAAUCUUUUGAACCGGCGCCGUGCUUGGGAUUGACCAUUGCAAUUGUUGGUCAUGCAACGAGGAAUGCCUUGUAAACGCGAGUCAUCAGCUCGCAUUGAAUACGUCCCUGCCCUUUGUACACACCGCCCGUCGCUCCUACCGAUGAAUGUUCCGAUGAAAUUUUCGGAGAGCGCCAGAGAACGGGGCUCUGCCCUGCAGAACUGGAGGCUCAAAGUCACUUAAAUCUGAACAUUUCGAGGAAGGAGAAGUCGUAACAAGGUAACC
rnacentral:rRNA from 1 species